GCCUCAGAUUCUACAGACAGUAAUUCAGAUCCUAACCGAUCACAACUCUCAGACAAGGCUGGAGGAGGAGAGUAAACUCCAGUGAAAUUGGGAUUCCCUCAAAACCUUUAUCUUACAGCGUAUUUGAUUCUGUUUGCAAUUAUUAAGCCUCUACAACUAACCCAAAUUGGAAACAAAACAUGUGGACACUUUAAAUGUUUAGUGUCUUAUCCAUCAUGGAGAACUAUAAGACGUAUCUGAUUGGUUCUAAGUUCUCCAGCAGAACAAAGAGUAAAGAACGAUCUUCAAUAAACAGAUGUCUUGAACAAGAACCAGCAAGAAGAACAAGGAACCUGCAUCAGAUGAUGGAGCCUCUAUGGAAUCACAGUCAACAGAGACUGAAACAUGAGGACAGAAAUAAGAACAGAGCCGCAAAUCUAUAUUAUUGAUAAGGUGUUGAUUAUUAGUAAAUUGAAACAGUUAAUCUACAAACAACUUUUCAAACUCAAACAUCUGAUCUCAACAACUCACUCUAAAUGUUAAUAACUCAUAGUUUUACCCACAAUGUAACUCUGGAAAAGAAACAACAUAUAGCUGUCACUUUAUGGUCAUAAUUCUACACAGAGGAACACUAUAGCCACAGGUACAAGAGCAACUUUAUAUGAUUAUUGUCACAGUUUGAACACAUUCUGCAUUUCUGUAAUAGACUGCUUCUUCUGCUCAAGGAUAAAUAUCUAUGAAGGAUGUGUUAGCCAAAGGUCCUAUGUGUCUGCUGUAUGUGGGACGUCUCUCCACAAACCCUGUGUUGCUCUGUGUUGUUUCUUGGUGUAUCUGGGUGCAGGUUGUCAUGCGGAGAGAAGAGGAUCAGCCAGCAGGGGUCGUAGUUGUGAUGGAGAAUGGUUUGAAUUGUUGCCAGUUGUUCAUGCACAGACAACCUUCAACAACAGUGGGGAAAAAAAUAACAUGUAGUGAAAUAUGGCGCCCUCUGCAGAACACUUGUAAACAACGGUGUCUUGGAAAGGACAGCUUGUAAUGUUUGGAUCAGCACAACAACAACAUACAGUGCUACACCUCCACCUAGUGGUGUGUUUUAAUUACUGUCUUACAUACGGUUUACAGAUUAUAAACGAUGUCUACUUGCUUGCCAUCACUGUCCAAAUACAUAUUGGUGUCAUAGCGGCUGCUGUUGUAUUUGUUGUAUUUGUGGUAUUUUUCUCUCUUUUUUCUUUCUCCUUUAUGUCUCCUGCUCAGUUAUCUGCUGUGCUCUGCCUCAAAUAUCAAACACCGGAUAUUGAAUCAUUAACUCCAGUCCACAGGUUCUUCCACAGAUCCUUUAAAUAUAGAUUCCCCGUAUGGCAUAAAGCUGCACAGUGUCUUGACGGUUAGCACUGUCCCCUCACAGCUAGACCAUCCCUGCUUCGUGUCCCAGCCUGAGCCUGGGAUCUUUCUGCUUAGAGUUUGUAUGCGUGGAUUUUCUCUGGGUUCUCCAGUUUCCUCCCACAGUCCAAGAACAUGCUGAGGUUAAUUCAUAAUUCUACAUUGCCCAUAGGUGUGAAUUCAGAUGUGAUUGUUUGUCUCUGUAGCCCUGUGAUAGACUGGUGACCUGACCAGGUGUCCCCUGCCUUCACCCUAAGUAGCUGGGAUAGACUCCAGCUCCCCAUGACCCUGAUGAGGAUUAAGUGGUGAAAAGAUGAUGGAUGGGUGAGGUAGAGGCUUAUCUAUGUUUUUUUUUUUUUUUAAAAACAGUAGUUUCCUUGCGUUUUCUGGUUUGGGUAACUCCUUUUGUAUGACUUUUAUCUAUUGUUUUUCAAAAUAUUUACCUGCAUAUUAAGUGUUUGGAUGUUGUUUGUUCUUUUCUCUUUUCUUUUUUCUGCUUCCUUAGUUGGAUUUGUUUCUAUGCAGACAGAUCACCUGUUCAUUACCUUUGGCUCACCUAAUAAAGACUUUGAUUUGAUAACUUUCA